rnacentral:tRNA from 1 species
UCCCAGGUAGUUCAAAUGGUAAAGAAUCUGCCUGCAAUGUGGGAGACCCAGGUUCGAUUCCUGGUUCAGGAA